AGUGGGAGCAAAAUUACAGAGUAACUGUAACAGAGUUAAAUGUUUCCCUCCUAAUUUCCGUUUAUCUGUCAUUGCUGUAUAUAAUGUUAAAAGACUAACAAUAAAGAUUAAUGACACGCCUGCAUAUAUUUCUAUUGUGAAAAUAAAUAAACAACAUCUCAAAAAAUAUAAUUUAGUAACUAAUUUGAAUCAAACUAAUUAGAAAAACGAACACCUAAAAGUACAUAAACAUAAUAAAAAACUAAAGUAACUGAAACCAUCUUUGGGGGAAAUAUCUGCAAUUAGAUUUUUAAGUUUGGUUCACGUAGCAUUUGCUUACAUAGAGUUUGCGGGCUUUAAGACCUACACGGCACCCAGCCACCAGAGGGCGAUAGAAAUAUUGGCUUCACUCACCGUGUAUCCCUUUGGUAACGGCCAUAUCGAUCACUGCUGGUUAAGAAGACAAGCUGCUUUUCUGCUGGAUGGUGAAGAUUCAAACCAACAACGUUGUCAGAGUAAAGUUCAAAGACAGCAAGAAAUAUAUUUUCUCUUCACAACCAUUUACAUUUCACACAUUUUUGGAAUGUGUUGCCAAGAAGUUUAUUCUUCCUACAAUGAAUGUCUUUGAUGACUCAAAGACAGAGGUUGAUGAGGAAUAAUAUCUGCUGACACGACCAGACUUUGGUGUCCUAGAAAUCUUCAUCCCAGAAAGCACAAGCAGCAUUGAUGGGCACGUCAGACUCUGAUGGGACCGCAGUGUUGAUUAGAAAUCCUCCUGAAAAAAAUCUAGCCAAGAAACGUCAUCUAGUCCAGAUCGAAAAUAUCCUAAACAGCAUCCCUGGAGGCGAUAAGGUCAUAAAGGAAUACGCUCGCACAAAGUCUUUCAGAUGGCCAAAGACGUGACAUGGUGAAAAUCUUGGUAGCACAUUUAACAAAGGAACAUGGAUCUUCCCCUUACCGAUGUUUGAAGGAAGAAUAUGCAAAGGGUAUUAUCUCCAUAUUCCCAUGCUUUGCUGACCCCAGGAGCAAGCUUGGUUAUGAGCAUUAUUACAAUGCAGAAGAUGGAAGUGGAUAUUUGGCGUAGAGAAUUAAAACUCAAGCAUCAGAGGGACGGAUAAAAUGCCCACGGCAACCACAAACAGGUGCAUGACUUGCAGAUUGAUUUGCAGAUUUUGGACUUCUAUUUGGUGAGGCGACCACUGCAAAGUUGUUGGAGAAGUGGUUUACCAACAUAAAACCAAAGGUUAUUGCACAGACCCGUGGCCUCAAACAGACUUGUAAGGUCCAAGACCUCAUCCAAAAUGCUGAAGUUGAAGAUGGUAACUAUUGUGCUAUACAUACAUGUGCUAUACAAGUUAUGAAUUCAUGAAGAAUGGCUUUAGAACCAUAGUUUCAAUUGUAUUAUUUAUUGUAUUAUAUUUACAACAUAUAAUCCAUGCUUUUGUUAUUUAGAGUCCCAAAUGAAAACUAUUUUAAACUGUAAAUUUACAACUCGCAUACUAGGCCCUUGUGAAAACCCAUCUGAAAGCGCUCUAUUUUUACACACUAAUUUUGUACUUUAUAUACAAAAAAUUCUUCUUUUGUACUUCUUGAGAUAAUCUUAAGAACAUCUAAGUAUACUUGUCUGUACUAUUUUGAGACACCAUGAAUAUGAACUGAAAUAUGCUUAAAAUAUAUAUAAAAAAAAUGUAUUUAGGUACCGCUUGUAGUAAACUUAAACCCAUCUUUCAUACAAACAAGUGGUAAAUAAAUAGUUUUUUAAAAUA